CCCUGCGUGGCACAAAUGGUUUGUGCUAGACUACUAAUCUAAAGGUCGGCGGUUCAAAUCCACCCAGUGGGA
rnacentral:tRNA from 1 species